rnacentral:rRNA from 1 species
UACGAAGGGAGCUAGCGUUGUUCGGAAUCACUGGGCGUAAAGCGCACGUAGGCGGAUUUGUCAGUCAGGGGUGAAAUCCCGGGGCUCAACCUCGGAACUGCCUUUGAUACAGCAAGUCUUGAGUUCGAGAGAGGUGGGUGGAAUUCCUAGUGUAGAGGUGAAAUUCGUAGAUAUUAGGAAGAACACCGAUGGCGAAGGCAGCCAUCUGGACCGACACUGACGCUGAGGCGCGAAAGCGUGGGGAGCAAACAGG